rnacentral:rRNA from 1 species
CCUACGGGUGGCAGCAGUGGGGAAUAUUGGUCAAUGGGCGCAAGCCUGACCCAGCAACGCCGCGUGAAGGAAGAAGGCUCUCGGGUUGUAAACUUCUUUUCUCAGGGACGAAGCAAGUGACGGUACCUGAUGAAUAAGCCACGGCUAACUACGUGCCAGCAGCCGCGGUAAUACGGAGGUGGCAAGCGUUAUCCGGAUUUACUGGGUGUAAAGGGCGUGUAGGCGGGGACGCCAGUCAGAUGGGAAAACCACGGGCUCAACCUGUGGCCUGCAUUUGAAACUGUGUUGCUUGAGUACUGGAGAGGCAGACGGAAUGCCUGGUGUAGCGGUGAAAUGCGUAGAUAUUAGGAGGAACACCAGUGGCGAAGGCGGUAUGCCGGACAGCAACUGACGCUGAGGCGCGAAAGCGUGGGGAGCAAACAGGAUUAGAUACCCCAGUAGUC